CACUCUGAUCACAUGUGAGUGUCCACUUUUGGGGUUCCUCAAUUCAGAGCCUGCAAAUGAUCACUGUAAACUGGCUCUGUCUCAGGAAUUCACCCGGGCAGCCUGGAGUCAGCCAUGCCUCUGAGCCCAAGGGUGGAAAUGGGAGAUGGGAGCUGUUAUGUUGGCGUCUUGGGGUCACAGGAGAAAAAAGCGGGACUUUGGUGGAAAGGAGUCACAUGGGAGCGCCAUCUCUGUGCAUGCAUGCAAAUAUGACUCAAUUCAUGUAAAGAUGCACCCUUGCAGCUCCCCAGCCUCCACCUGUCAGGAUGACUCCGGGAAGACAGAUGGAGGACUGCAUUUGUGUUUAGGGUUUAUAGGACCUGUUGUCGCCUCCCCACGCUGAUCCCACACGUGUACAUCAUGCGAGCCACCCCCUGAGUUCUGACCUUUCUCUUGGCCCCUUGUACUCCCCAGGAGAGAAGUUCUCAAUCCCAGCAGUUCUGUGUAGUCAUUCCCAGUGGUACACGUCUGUACCCUGAAGGAACACUGGCCUCCAUUCUGCCUUUUGGGCUGGAGCCUCAGGAACCGCAAGAGAUAGCAAUGUGUUUUAAGUUGCCCAGGCUCAUUGUGAUAAGGAAUUAGGUCACAAAUGGGAAAUAAACCAGAAGCAGCGAAAUUCCUUUCUUAAAGUUCUGUGUUGUCAAAAUUAAAGAAGCUUUCUGUCAUUAAAGAGUGUCGUUACGGUUUA